AAGCUACACUCUGUGUCAGAAACCAACCGUGAUCUGAUGCUAUUUCUGCUUGCUACAAUAAACAUAGUCUCAUUCAGUUGCAGUCUCUUCUAAGUGAGACCUGCUGUGCUGUUUAUGCUGACUGUUACAUG
rnacentral:snoRNA from 1 species